GUGAAAGAAUCUUUUUUUAAUUUUUAUCCUAGAGUCAGUCACUUUUAUUCCAGGUAGUCAUGCUGAUCUGCUUAUCCAAAGCCAGCUAACCAGGUUCAUCCUACCAUCCUCAUGGAAGACUGUGUGUAUGAAUUGGAGUAACAGAACUGAAAUACACUUAAACAGUGACAGCAGUACUUCCCAGGGUGGGGGCCAUAUUUCUCUGUGUCCUACUCUGAGCAACUUCUCAGAGAUACGAGGGGGCUAGGGUUUUCCCAUCUGGGAAAUGGGGUGAAAGUCUGCAGAUUGUUAAAUGAAAUAUAGAAUCAGAGAAAAAGAAAAGUCAGUGAUAUAAAUAGAUCAUUUCAUAGAAAUUAGGGUAGAUUUUUAUUUCAACUACUACUGGAGAAUUUAAUAAAAGGCAUUAUUUGAAAAGUUUUUCUAACAUAGAUUUAGGGUUUUUUUUUUUAGAGUGGACACACUACAUUUAAAAGCAAUUAUUUUGCUAUUCAGAUUUUUUAUUAUCUGAAAAUGAAAUUAUCUGUUUUACUUUUCAAAGCUUUGUGAAACAAACUUGAAGUUAUAGGGAGGUAAGCCAUCUCCAACUCUGCAGGUCAAACGAAAGUUUGGGAAAUACUUUUGACAUCCCACAAUACAGAAUGUCUUAACAUGAGAAUUGAAUUUCAUGAUGUGUGGUUCCAUUUAAUAGCGGACACCACCCCAAUCUCAUGUUUUCCUGUUACCCUAAAACAGUGGAAGGAAACUGGGUGUUUGGUAGACUUCUAAAUCAUGGUCUCUGACAAUUUGAAUCUGAGAUUCUCACCUCCAUUUACUAAAGAAUCGUGACUUAAUUCAAAUUGCACAGUAAUCAGUAAAGUGAAUACGUUUUUAAAAUGGAAUUUUCUCCCUUCAGCAAGCACUCAUUAAGGAGUGAGGCUGAGUAUUUUAAGAUAGAGUGAGAUCUGUGAGUGAUUGAAAGGUGAUAUUUAAAAACUUGGAUUUCAUUCCAGUGUCAGGUUUGGGUUUUAAGUUCCUUUGGUCCAGGGAAGGGUCCAAGCAGCCACAGUUGCCCUAAAUCUCCAUCAUUAAGUCUUCCAGCAAGGUUAAGUGCAGUAUGGAAGGAGAAGGGGGAAGAGGACGGUAACGGCCCCACACUCCAGGCUGAGAAAGAGUAAUUAGGAGGCCUGAGGAGGGGCCGAGGAAAGGCUGUUGGGGUGUGCUGGGGUUGGUACCCGAGCGCCUUCCCCUCACCUCAACCAGAGAAGAGCAUCCGGUUGCUUUUUAAAGCUUUUAGCCUGCCCUAGCAAGGACAAAGCAUGUUAGAUUAGAGAUGCUUCUGCUGAUCGCAGGGGUUCUUAUUUGAAAACAUCUAUGAUGGGGGUGGGGUGGGAGGAGACAGGUUGUGGUUAUGCAGGAAAAUCUUGUCCUAAAAAUAUAUGAGUUUGGGGGUAAGGGGUGGGAUAGCCAAGCAAAAUCAGUAAUUAUUUUAAAAUGAACAUAUGUAUUUUUAUUAACUUUUAGUUAAAUACAGAUUUUACAACGAGGUCAGCAUAAGCCUAAAUCUAUAUAGAGGGCUAACUCAGGCAUUGUCUUGUUUAUUUGUAGACUGGAUUAAAAACAACCUGUCCUGUUUUGUCAGUUCCCAGCUUCUUCGUUUAGAAUAAAUUAGACCAAAAGAAGAAACGUGCUUGUCUCUGUAUACCCGCAGAAUGAAGUUACUGUUGUUAAAACUGGAUUUUUUCAUUUUACUAGGUUCCGAAGAGUCCAGAUGCUUGGUAGAUGUUCAAUACGUGAUUUUUUUUUUAAUUGAAUGUGUUCAUUUAAAAUCCUCCUUAACAUUUCUAGAAAGACUUCUUUCAAUAAAUAAUGGAAUCUUAGAGGAAAAGUGGUUUUUUAAAAGCUAGGGAACUCCUCCACUAAAAGUAACCAUUGGAAACCUCGAAUGAGGGCUAAAGUUUUAAUCAUAAGAGAAAAGGCAGCAUAAUGAAAUGUGUACACAUACAUAGUCAGUGGUCCAUUUUAGGAAGCCAGUGGCGUCUGAUAAAGAAAUGUUAAGAGUAGUGAGGUUGAGGAAGGAAAUUGUGGGGAUUUGAAAUAUUCUCUUUAUGUUGUUUCUCUUCUGAGUCAUGGUAAAACAAUAAAUUAUCAUCUCUAGGUGGC
rnacentral:lncRNA from 10 species